ACUAAGUACUGAGUGCCCAUAUGUGUCAGGGUCUGUGUUAUUAGCUUUACGUGCGAUAUCUCAGCGAAUGGUCAAACUUAGGGGUGAACUAUUAUCUCCAUUUGAUAGAAGCGGAAAGUGAAGUUUACAAACGACUAUGUGUCCAAGAUCCUAGGGCUGGGAAUGUUAAAAAGAGGAUUCCUAGCCAGAUGAGACCCACGGCGAAAUGCACGUUCUUAACCACUGUUGGUAGCCCUCUUUUCUGCUUUUUCCUGGAAAUAUUUCUCUUUUUCUUUCCCAGAAUCUUUUAAAACCUGAUCUCUGUCUUCCCGCGUCAACACGUGGCUGAUUUUAAAAAUAUGGAAUGGUCAUAGAGCACUUUUAAGAAUAACUUUACACUGAAAGCAAUCCACUUUCCUUGCAGAAAAUACGGAAAACGCGAAGCAGAACGUUUUGCCUCCACUUUUGUUCUUGAACAGGAGGGUACGGCAGGAUGAUCCACACCUCAUCAGAACACUGGAGAUGAUGAAAAACUGCCUCAUGACAGCUUCCUAAAGGGCAUAGGGAGGGACAAUCAAAGAGGAUCUUCUCCAGAUGAUUGAAUCUCCUGUGAGCUCAGCAUCAGAUUACAUCAUGUUCACCACCCGAAGACUAACUACCAUCCAUCACCAUACGCA